CUGAAGAGAGGAGCUUGCUCUUCUUGGAUGAGUUGCGAACGGGUGAGUAACGCGUAGGUAACCUGCCUUGUAGCGGGGGAUAACUAUUGGAAACGAUAGCUAAUACCGCAUAACAAUGGAUGACUCAUAUCAUUUAUUUGAAAGGGGCAAAUGCUCCACUACAAGAUGGACCUGCGUUGUAUUAGCUAGUAGGUGAGGUAAUGGCUCACCUAGGCGACGAUACAUAGCCGACCUGAGAGGGUGAUCGGCCACACUGGGACUGAGACACGGCCCAGACUCCUACGGGAGGCAGCAGUAGGGAAUCUUCGGCAAUGGGGGCAACCCUGACCGAGCAACGCCGCGUGAGUGAAGAAGGUUUUCGGAUCGUAAAGCUCUGUUGUAAGUCAAGAACGAGUGUGAGAGUGGAAAGUUCACACUGUGACGGUAGCUUACCAGAAAGGGACGGCUAACUACGUGCCAGCAGCCGCGGUAAUACGUAGGUCCCGAGCGUUGUCCGGAUUUAUUGGGCGUAAAGCGAGCGCAGGCGGUUUGAUAAGUCUGAAGUUAAAGGCUGUGGCUCAACCAUAGUUCGCUUUGGAAACUGUCAAACUUGAGUGCAGAAGGGGAGAGUGGAAUUCCAUGUGUAGCGGUGAAAUGCGAAGAUAUAUGGAGGAACACC
rnacentral:rRNA from 1 species